rnacentral:rRNA from 3 species
CAAACGACUCUCGGCAACGGAUAUCUCGGCUCUCGCAUCGAUGAAGAACGUAGCGAAAUGCGAUACCUGGUGUGAAUUGCAGAAUCCCGCGAACCAUCGAGUCUUUGAACGCAAGUUGCGCCCGAGGCCACCUGGCCGAGGGCACGCCUGCCUGGGCGUCACGC